rnacentral:rRNA from 1 species
UGCAGUCGAGCGAGCAGAACCAGCAGAUUUACUUCGGUAAUGACGCUGGGGACGCGAGCGGCGGAUGGGUGAGUAACACGUGGGGAACCUGCCCCAUAGUCUGGGAUACCACUUGGAAACAGGUGCUAAUACCGGAUAAGAAAGCAGAUCGCAUGAUCAGCUUAUAAAAGGCGGCGUAAGCUGUCGCUAUGGGAUGGCCCCGCGGUGCAUUAGCUAGUUGGUAAGGUAACGGCUUACCAAGGCAAUGAUGCAUAGCCGAGUUGAGAGACUGAUCGGCCACAUUGGGACUGAGACACGGCCCAAACUCCUACGGGAGGCAGCAGUAGGGAAUCUUCCACAAUGGACGCAAGUCUGAUGGAGCAACGCCGCGUGAGUGAAGAAGGUUUUCGGAUCGUAAAGCUCUGUUGUUGGUGAAGAAGGAUAGAGGUAGUAACUGGCCUUUAUUUGACGGUAAUCAACCAGAAAGUCACGGCUAACUACGUGCCAGCAGCCGCGGUAAUAGAUCGGAAGAGCACACGUCU